rnacentral:rRNA from 1 species
CUGCUGCCUCCCGUAGGAGUUUGGGCCGUGUCUCAGUCCCAAUGUGGCCGUCCACCCUCUCAGGCCGGCUACUGAUCGUCGCCUUGGUGGGCCGUUACCCCGCCAACAAGCUAAUCAGACGCGGGUCCAUCUUACACCACCGGAGUUUCUCACACAAAUCCAUGCGGCUUCGUGCGCUUAUGCGGUAUUAGCACCUAUUUCUAAGUGUUAUCCCCCAGUGUAAGGCAGGUUACCCACGCGUUACUCACCCGUCCGCCACUAAG